rnacentral:misc_RNA from 1 species
GGACUUUUCAAGAAGGUAAGGAUUUUCAGUGAUAUGGCACUACAACAGGUCGGGAGUAUACUCAGUUAGAUUAGGCUAUCAUCUCUUGGUGGAUAAGGUAGACAAUCUAUUAGGCAUAUUACUAGUAGGUCUCUUUGCAUUUUGCAACAUAUUUGGAGAAAAUUAUGGAAUCUUUCCCAGCAGCCAAAGUUAAAAGUUUUUGAGUGGAAAAGCUUUACUAACGGCAUUGUUGCUUAGAGAUAAUCUUGCUCAUAGAGGUCUUCCCCUUAAUCCUAUAUGUCCUAUCUGUAAUGUAGAGCCUGAAUUUGUUAAGCAUAUGUUAUUUUGGCAUAGUUUUCUAACUACUCUAAUUAUAAGCAUAAUGCGGUACGCUUUAAUUCCUUCGCCUAAUUUUGCCCAAUCCAAUGUCAACUAUUCAUCAAAUCAAGUUUUGACAAAUGGAUCAUCAAGUUCUGCCAAAUGGAUUAUCAAGUCUUACUCCUUCUGCAAAUUCUCAAAAUUAUAGAGGUAAUACCCCUCCUCACAUUGAUUCUUGGUGCUCGCAUCCUGAUGGAGUGCUGAAAUUCAAUAGUGACGUCUCUCAGAAAGAAAAUCCCCCCUAUGCAGUAGCAAGGUUUAUUGUUAGGAACCAUAGAAGCAAGUUGGUUAAUUGUUUGGCCUAUGAUAUUCAAGCAACCUCUCCUCUAGUUAGCCAAGCUUUAGCCCUUCUUAAAGCAGCCAAUCUUGCUAUCUCUAUGGGUGCAAAAUCAGUUAUCCUAGAAACAAAUUCAAAGUUCCUUCAUUCUUCCAUUCUUGGUCAAAAUAUGUUAUUCAGUGACUUUAAUUUUUUCUUAAUCAUGAAGAAUUUUUUUUUAGCCUUGAAAUAUAAAGCUGGAGCCAAGUCUUAUCUUUGAAGUAAUAUGAUUGUAUGUGCAAUUUAGACUCAUUUAAGCUUAAGAAAUCCAAUGACUUGGUGCCAUGUUAUCUUUGACUUGCUCAAAGAUUUCACCUUAGCUUUGAAAGAAGGAAAAUGCAGCUCGACCAAUAGUUGGCACAAAGUUCCCAACUUUCUUUGGCAUAAAAAGGGACAGCCUUGUAUUGUUAUAAAUAGGGCCAAGGUUUCACAUUUGUUGUAACCCAAUUUUUGUGAGAUGAGAGCUAAGAGAAAAUUAGAGAGAAUUUUCUCUAAAUCUUUUGUGAAGUUUUGGGUAUAAUUGGGUUUGAGGGUUAUAAGUGAUUUGUAAGUGAGAAAAAUAUUUAGUACA